UACGUAGGGGGCAAGCGUUGUCCGGAUUUAUUGGGCGUAAAGAGCGUGUAGGCGGCCAGGGAGGUCCGUUGUGAAAACUCGAGGCUCAACCUCGAGACGCCGAUGGAAACCCCCUGGCUAGAGUCCGGAAGAGGAGAAUGGAAUUCCUGGUGUAGCGGUGAAAUGCGCAGAUAUCAGGAAGAACACCCGUGGCUAAGGCGGUUCUCUAGUACGGUACUGACGCUGAGACGCGAAAAGCGUGGGGAGCGAACAGG
rnacentral:rRNA from 1 species